rnacentral:tRNA from 1 species
GAGGGUAUACCUCAGUGGCAAAGUGCAUGACUAGCAUGCACGAGGUCCUGGGUUCAAUCCCCAGUACCUCCA